rnacentral:rRNA from 1 species
AUUGAACGCUGGCGGCAGGCCUAACACAUGCAAGUCGAGCGGAUGAACGGAGCUUGCUCCUGGAUUCAGCGGCGGACGGGUGAGUGAUGCCUAGGAAUCUGCCUGUCUGUGGGGGAUAACGUCCGGAAGCGGGCGCUAAUACCGCAUUAGUGCAGAGGGAGAACGGGGGGGAGCUUCGGACCUCACGCUCUCAGAUGAGUCUAGGUCGGAUUAGCGAGUUGGUGGGGUAAAGGCCUACCAAGGCGACGAUCCGUAACUGGUCUGAGAGGAUGAUCAGUCACACUGGAACUGAGACACGGUCCAGACUCCUACGGGAGGCAGCAGUGGGGAAUAUUGGACAAUGGGCGAAAGCCUGAUCCAGCCAUGCCGCGUGUGUGAAGAAGGUCUUCGGAUUGUAAAGCACUUUAAUUGGGGAGGAAGGGCAGUAAGUUAAUACCUUGCUGUUUUGACGUUACCAACAGAAUAAGCACCGGCUAACUUCGUG